rnacentral:rRNA from 1 species
AGAGCGAACGCUGGCGGCAGGCCUAACACAUGCAAGUCGAACGGACCCUUCGGGGUUAGUGGCGGACGGGUGAGUAACACGUGGGAACGUGCCUUUUGGUUCGGAAUAGCUCCUGGAAACGGGUGGUAAUGCCGAACGUGCCCUUCGGGGGAAAGAUUUAUCGCCAUUAGAGCGGCCCGCGUCUGAUUAGCUAGUUGGUGAGGUAAUGGCUCACCAAGGCGACGAUCAGUAGCUGGUCUGAGAGGAUGACCAGCCACAUUGGGACUGAGACACGGUCCAGACUCCUACGGGAGCAGCAGUGGGGAAUAUUGGACAAUGGGCGAAAGCCUGAUCCAGCCAUGCCGCGUGUGUGAAGAAGGUCUUCGGAUUGUAAAGCACUUUAAGUUGGGAGGAAGGGUUGUAACUUAAUACGUUGCAACUUUGACGUUACCGACAGAAUAAGCACCGGCUAACUUCGUGCCAGCAGCCGC